rnacentral:rRNA from 1 species
GGCCUGGCUGGGCGGUCAGCCAAAUUGGUUAGUACUGCUUUGGCCGGGUCUUUCCUUCUGGAGAGCCGGCAUGCCCUUCACUGGGUGUGGCGGGGAUCCAGGACUUUUACCUUGAAAAAAUUAGAGUGCUCAAAGCAGGCAUUUGCUUGAAUAGAUUAGCAUGGAAUAAUAAAAUAGGAC